AGCAAGAUGGCGGACUCUACUUCAGCUACUGUAGUGUCGUCGGAAGCAAUAAGUGAGCUGCCGUGCAGUAAAACACACUUCGUUUGGUCAGAUGCCAUGACGAUGCGCUUGAUAAACGCCUGGGAAGACAGUGUAGCCGUAUCGGGGACCAAAGAGGCCAGAAAAGAAACGCCGCCGAAUACGACCGCGUCGAGACAGCUACUGCGGUUUUCGUCGGGAAGCAAGUGCGGGUUAAAAUAGAAAACCUGACGAUGGAAUAGAGCUUCACCUAUGAAAACUACAGCCACACUGCACGGUCUCGCACUGCUACAAAACGACUACUUCAGAAACAGUGAUGUCAUGAUUGGUUCCAAUUGUGCACGAACAGUCAGAUGGAAACCAUUGUUGCAGCAUCCCAGCCUGAAGAACAAACAACUGAGCAACAAGAGACAAGUUCGGAACCUGCACAGACCUCACAGAGAAAGUAGCCCAAAAACCAGACUGUGA